UACGUAGGGGGCAAGCGUUGUCCGGAAUCAUUGGGCGUAAAGAGCGUGUAGGCGGCCGCGUAAGUCGGGUGUGAAAGCCCCAGGCUUAACCUGGGAAGUGCACUCGAAACUGCGUGGCUUGAGUAUCGGAGAGGUUGGUGGAAUUCUCGGUGUAGAGGUGAAAUUCGUAGAUAUCGAGAGGAACACCGGUGGCGAAGGCGGCCAACUGGACGAAUACUGACGCUGAGACACGAAAGCGUGGGGAGCAAACAGG
rnacentral:rRNA from 1 species